rnacentral:rRNA from 1 species
UACGUAGGGUGCAAGCGUUGUCCGGAAUUAUUGGGCGUAAAGAGCUCGUAGGCGGUUUGUCGCGUCUGCUGUGAAAACUCGGGGCUUAACUCCGGGCCUGCAGUGGGUACGGGCAGACUAGAGUGCGGUAGGGGAGACUGGAAUUCCUGGUGUAGCGGUGAAAUGCGCAGAUAUCAGGAGGAACACCGGUGGCGAAGGCGGGUCUCUGGGCCGUAACUGACGCUGAGAAGCGAAAGCAUGGGGAGCGAACAGG